CAUCUAACGAACUAAAUCUUAUUUUAGUUCGUUCUUCUCCUAAUGGAGAAAUACAUUAUCUUAUGAUGCUAUUUUCCUUGAUAUCAUUCAAGGAAACUCAUCUAAAGUGUUACCUUUCCUUGGAUCAAAUCUAAAGAGGUAAAUACUUUAGAUAUCUUACUCAUCUAUUUACAUUUCUUUGAAUUCUUUGAAACUUUUUGCAAAGUAUUCGGACUUGUGUUUAUUCAAAAUAAACUAUAGUCCAACUGAGAGUGAUCUUCGGUGAAUGUCAUAUAACAUGAGUAGUAUUAUGUUGAGGACAAGUGCCACUAACAUCUAAGUGAAUUAACCUCAACAACUUUUGUGAUUCUUUCUUCUUUCCAAAAGAACAAAGAUUCGAACAUUUCGCCUCUAUACAAUUUUAACAAGAAGGUAUUGGAUCCGGAUCUAACGAUCC
rnacentral:lncRNA from 1 species